CCAGCAGCCGCGGUAAUACGGAGGGUGCGAGCGUUGUUCGGAAUUAUUGGGCGUAAAGCGCGUGUAGGCGGCUUAUUAAGUCUGAUGUGAAAGCCCUGGGCUCAACCUGGGAAGUGCAUUGGAUACUGGUAGACUUGAGUACGGGAGAGGGCAGUGGAAUUCCCAGUGUAGGAGUGAAAUCCGUAGAUAUUGGGAGGAACACCGGUGGCGAAGGCGGCUGCCUGGACCGAUACUGACGCUGAGGCGCGAAAGCGUGGGGAGCAAACAGGAUUAGAUACCCUGGUAGUCCACGCCGUAAACGAUGAGAACUAGGUGUUGCGGGUAUUG
rnacentral:rRNA from 1 species